UGGGGAAUAUUGCACAAUGGGCGCAAGCCUGAUGCAGCAACGCCGCGUGAGGGACGACGGCCUUCGGGUUGUAAACCUCUUUUAGUAGGGAAGAAGCGAAAGUGACGGUACCUGCAGAAAAAGCACCGGCUAACUACGUGCCAGCAGCCGCGGUAAUACGUAGGGUGCAAGCGUUGUCCGGAAUUAUUGGGCGUAAAGAGCUCGUAGGCGGUUUGUCGCGUCUGCUGUGAAAAACCCGAGGCUCAACCUCGGGCCCUGCAGU
rnacentral:rRNA from 1 species